rnacentral:misc_RNA from 1 species
UUUCGCGGACACAGAAAAGCAAAAGUAGUAGAAGAAAGAUUAAAAAAAAAAAAACCCGAUGAAUAGUAUAUUUUCGGUCGACGAUUUCUCCGAUCUGUCAUGGCAGGCCACGGUGACCGCUCAUCCGCCGGUGAUGAGUAGGAGUGCAUCGGAGUGGGAGCUGGAAAAGUUUCUAGAAGAAUUCCCGGCCCCUACUUCCUCAUCCGCUAGCGACAACACCGCUGUUCCUUCUGCGGUCUCCCAAUCACCGACUUUAUCGAAGCCGCGGAAUGGUGAAGACGAUGUGGUGGAGAUCGAAAAGCCUGAAAUUCAUCCUCUUCCUCCUCCUGCUUCUCUUCCUCGUAAUUUUCUGCCUCAGCCGUUGGAUCGCGCUUCAUUGGCUCCGGCCGAUUCGGAGAACUACCACGCUUUUCUCAAGUUCCAACUCGAUCUUCCCUGUGCGGCUGCGGGCAAGUCUCGGAGAUACAUGUUUGCUUGGUGGAUUUUUGCGAAUGUCAAUGAAUGAAUUGAGUGAAAAGCCUGAAGGCGUUUCUUCCUUAGCUGAGGAUCAAAGAGUGGCUUCCAAGAAUUUUCAGUCAGGAUCACAAGUUUCUGCGUAAGGCGAACAAUCUUGCAGAAACUUGAGGUCGAGUUCAAAGUUUUAGAAGCAGUGCAAUGCAUGUUUGCACGAAAAGUUUAACUUCUUAAUUAAGAUCGCUAAAGUCAAUAUGCUGUGUGGUGCAUCAGUGCAUGUUCACCAGGUAAUGGCAAUAGUAUCUUAAAGGCACAGAGUGAGGCUGAUGGUGGAUCACUUCGCCUUCCAGCAUUAACUUCUACACAGAGAAAACAAGAGAUACCAGCGAGGCAAACAACCAGCGGUUCUUCAAGAGAGGAUUCAGAUGAUGAUGAUCUUGAUGGAGAUACAGGAACCAAUGAACAUAUGGAUCCUGCUGAUGAAAAACGUGCAAGGAGGAUGCAGUCAAAUCGAGAGUCAGCCAGACGUUCAAGAAGAAGAAAACAGGCACAGCUAAAUGAACUCGAAGCACAGGUCUAGCCCAAAGAUUAUCUCCAGCACUUGUUCUCUCACUCUCCUUGAUUAUUUUUUGCUUCUUUUCUAGAAAAAUGAUAUUAUAUAUGUGCUAUGUAAUAGGUUGGUCAUCUGAGGGAUGAGCGCACUUCAUUGCUAACUCGCUUAACAGACAUAAAUAAGAAGUGUGAUGAUGCUUCUGUUGACAAUAGAAUUUUGAAUGCCAAUAUUGAAACAUUAAGGACAAAGGUAAAUUCUUACUGUAUUAUAUGAUUUUUGUUCAGCCAGUUAACUUUAUGAUUCCCUUUGGGUGUUUGGAAAUUACUAAAUAUUUUACUUUCAGACUUUUGAUGCUUAUGGUUGUGAAAAAGGGAAUCUUAAUCAGAUCAACCAUAAGUAUAUUAGGAUGUCAUAUGGAAGCUGAUUCUGUAUAUGCACGAAUGUAUGCCUGCCCAUGUGUGUUUUUGGCAAAAGGAAACUUCUGUUUCAGUACAGCGCCAGCACAAAUUCUUGUAUGUGUUGCAUUAGCAUAUUGAGGAAAACAUCUGCUCCAAGUGAUUCAUCCUAAAUGGUUGGAGCCAAGAAAGUCAAUGCCAUUUACAUGGAGGUUGGUUUGCUUGAUAUCAGGGGUUCGUGUUAGUUGCUGCAAAAUUGUUGGUCGAAAAUGAAGUUAAACAUAUUCAAGCACUAGUCCAGAAAUUUCUGUUUAUCUCAUUCCUUAUAAUUAAUUGGCAUGAUUUACUUAGUUGAUAAAUUAUCUGUUUUGUCGACCAAAUUUAUCAGGCAGAUAUAUUGUAUAAACUUUCAGGUCCAAAUGGCUGAAGAUCAAGUUAAACGAGUGACUGGUUUGAACCCUCUGCUUCUAGCAAGAUCCAACAUGCCCAGCAUAGGGAUGCAGUUUGUUGCUGGUCAAACCGAUGCAUCUGCGGGUGUUGCUGUGCCGAUGCAACCAAACAACAACCAUUUCUUUCACCAUUCAGUUCCUAAUAUCCCCUCCAGUGCUCAACAUUUGCAAGGACUAAACAAUAGCUGCCAUAACAACAAUCUAACUUCUCUUGCCACAAAUCCGCAAGGUGAUAAUGGAACAAGUAAUAUUGGUGGAAUGCCCUCUAUGCAGCAGUUAACAGCUACUGGGCAAGCUAUGGCUGAUACGGCUCCCAUGCAACAUGUACAAAAGCAAACUGUUCCUAGGGUCGGGCCAGCGACUUUGCCCAGUGGCAACAAAGUUCUUUCUCAUCCAGUUGCAAAGGAUAAUAAAAAGAAAUGACUCAAAUGCUUCUCCUAUUACUGCUGGUUGAAGUUAGGGUUUGGAAAAGGUUAUUUCAUGGUACAAUUAUUGGUUCAAAUAAUUAUGGGAUUUUCAACUUUAUAUUAGGCCUUUUUAUUAAUUUUAUAAAUAAGUGUUUUCACCUAAUGGAAUAUCGCAAACUUCAGAGAGCCAACAAUUUAUUCUCAUCAAUCAACUUAAUAGCUAUAGGCUGUCCCUGCAAAAUUGGAGGGUAUCAAGUGUAUGUAUAAUAUUUGAAUUAUGUUCCAAUUUCGAUUGUCCCCCAAAUUCCAUUCCUAUUACUAUACUUUCUUAAAAUUUAAUGAAGUUGUGUAAACGAGUUGGAUAUUUA